AGUUCCCCCUCAGUCUAUGUAGAGCUGACCAGGGAAGAACACUUUGGAGGGCUGUUGGAACAAGGGAAGUAACCUCAAAUGCUCCAGGGGACUGCUUUGAACGGAUUCUUAACCUAAGGCCUGGGGAGUGACAAAAGUAGGAAAAGAGAGGAAGACACUAUCUGAAGGACCUUGGAGGACCUCAGGCCCAAGCAAACACACUAAGUUGCCUGCUCUAAGCCUUUACCUGGAAUGGGUUCCUCCUCAAUUCUCUUCUACCUCCAUUAAGUUCUAGUUGAAAAAAAAGAAGGGGAAAGAGAAGCUCUCUGCUGGAUCAAAGGCAAGGGAACAGUCCUUGAGGAAGCUUAGCCAGAGAAAGAAGACUGGUGACUUGAUCAGACUCCGCUCACCUAGGCUCCCCAACCCAGGGGUAGGGCUAACACAGGUGACCAAAUGGUGGUUUUGAAAUGGAUAUUUCUUGCCUUUCUUGUGAGUUUGAUCUUAGAAGUUUGAGGGUCUAGUGUUCCUGGGUCCCCAGUUGGUGCUAUUUGUGCUGCUGAAGAUUCCCGCUUCAGCUACCAUAGUUUUUGGGAGGAAGAGACAGCCACUGACAGCAAAUAAGCACGACCUCCGGCCUGGCUUGCCAGAGGACUUUACACUUAGAAGGUGAUUCUGACGGUGUGAGCAAUCCUGUAAAAUGUUUCAAAUUUUGAAGUUUUAGGUAUCAACCUCUUGGAAAAAGAUAAUGGG
rnacentral:lncRNA from 1 species